rnacentral:rRNA from 1 species
AGCCGCGGUAAUACGGAGGGUGCGAGCGUUAAUCGGAAUUACUGGGCGUAAAGCGCAUGCAGGUGGUUUGUUAAGUCAGAUGUGAAAGCCCGGGGCUCAACCUCGGAAUUGCAUUUGAAACUGGCAGACUAGAGUACUGUAGAGGGGGGUAGAAUUUCAGGUGUAGCGGUGAAAUGCGUAGAGAUCUGAAGGAAUACCGGUGGCGAAGGCGGCC